UACCUUAAGCCUUUUCUUUUAUUUUUAGAAAAUAUUAUAAAUAUUUUCUAGCCUCAAAACCUAACUCCUAUGGGUUAAAGAUAAUUUGUGAAUAUGAAAUCAUUAUUCAUUAUCUUAUGCAUUUAAUAAAGGUUAAGUAUUUAUUUAAAUACCUUAAUGAAAAGGCAUUAAACAAAUACCUAAUUUUUAUUAUUUUUCCUAAGGUAUAAUAAUUUUAAUGCAUAAAGGAAAAUAAAACAAUCCUAACAAAAUUGGUUUCACUAAUUUUGGACACUCCUAGAAAUUCUUAUGAUUUAAAUGGUGAAAAUCGAAUUUAAUCUAUUAAUCUAAUAAAAGGAAAACCUAAAUUUAUCCCUAAACCCCCGGCCCAACUUUUCUCACUCGCCUCCUCUCUACCCUCUCUCACUCGCGCUGGGCCCGCUGCACUGGUCCACCUUCUCCCUUUCUCUCCC
rnacentral:lncRNA from 1 species